ACGGAUUCUUCGGAAUUAGUGGCGGACGGGUGAGUAACGCGUGAGAAUCUGCCCUUAGGUUGGGGACAACAGUUGGAAACGACUGCUAAUACCCAAUGUGCCGAGAGGUGAAAGGUUAACUGCCUGAGGAUGAGCUCGCGUCUGAUUAGCUAGUUGGAGUGGUAACGGCACACCAAGGCGACGAUCAGUAGCUGGUCUGAGAGGAUGAUCAGCCACACUGGGACUGAGACACGGCCCAGACUCCUACGGGAGGCAGCAGUGGGGAAUUUUCCGCAAUGGGCGAAAGCCUGACGGAGCAAGACCGCGUGAGGGAGGAAGGCCUAUUGGUUGUAAACCUCUUUUGAUAGGGAAGAACACAAUGACGGUACCUAUCGAAUCAGCAUCGGCUAACUCCGUGCCAGCAGCCGCGGUAAUACGGAGGAUGCAAGCGUUAUCCGGAUUUAUUGGGCGUAAAGCGUCCGUAGGUGGCAAUCCAAGUCAGUUGUUAAAGCGUAGAGCUUAACUCUAUAACGGCAAUUGAAACUGGAUAGCUAGAGUGCGAUAGGGGCAAGGGGAAUUCCCAGUGUAGCGGUGAAAUGCGUAGAUACUGGGAAGAACAUCGGUGGCGAAGGCGCCUUGCUGGGUCUGCACUGACACUGAGGGACGAAAGCUAGGGGAGCGAAAGGGAUUAGAUACCCCUGUAGUCCUAGCCGUAAACGAUGGAUACUAGGCGUUGUCCGUAUCGACCCGAGCCGUGCCGAAG
rnacentral:rRNA from 1 species